UGGCGGCGUGGAUAAGACAUGCAAGUCGAACGCGAUUUUUCCGGUUAGCAAUAACUGGAAAAAUUGAGUGGCGAAUGGGUGCGUAACACGUGGGAAUUUAUCCGGAAGUGGGGGAUAGCUUGCCGAAAGGCAAAUUAAUACCGCAUAUGCCCGUAAGGGCAAAGUGGGGGACCGCAAGGCCUCACGCUAUCGGAGGAGCCCGCGCCCUAUCAGCUAGUUGGUGAGGUAAUGGCUCACCAAGGCUUAGACGGGUAGCUGGUCUGAGAGGACGACCAGCCACACUGGAACUGAGACACGGUCCAGACACCUACGGGUGGCAGCAGUCGAGGAUUUUUCUCAAUGGGGGCAACCCUGAAGGAGCGACGCCGCGUGGAGGAUGAAGGGCUUCGGCUCGUAAACUCCUGUCACCGACGAACAAGGCAUCCGAAUUAAUAAAUCGGAUGCUUGAUGGUAGUCGGAGAGGAAGGGGCGGCUAACUCUGUGCCAGCAGCCGCGGUGAUACAGAGGCCCCAAGCGUUGUUCGGAUUUACUGGGCGUAAAGGGUGUGUAGGGGGUCGUGUAAGUUUGACGUGAAAUCCCGUUGCUCAACAACGGAACUGCGUCGAAUACUGCUCGGCUGGAGGUUCGGAGAUGAGGGCGGAAUUCUCGGUGUAGCGGUGAAAUGCGUAGAUAUCGAGAGGAACGCCGAUGGCGAAAGCAGCCCUCAAGACGAAAUCUGACCCUGAAACACGAAGGCCAGGGGAGCAAACGGGAUUAGAUACCCCGGUAGUCCUGGCAGUAAACGGUGCUCAUUAGAUGUAGGCGGAUUCGACCCCGCCUGUGUCGAACCUAACGGAUUAAAUGAGCCGCCUGGGAAGUACGGUCGCAAGAUUAAAACUCAAAGAAAUUGACGGGGGCCCGCACAAGCGGNNGNNUAUGUGGCUUAAUUCGAUGCAACGCGAAGAA
rnacentral:rRNA from 1 species